GCCUUCGGGCAGUAGUGGUCAACACCCUGGGUUCGUAUUCCAGAUGUCCGUGGUUCGAAUCCCGGCGAAGGCG
rnacentral:tRNA from 1 species